AAAAAAGAAGAAGAAUUAAGAAAAUAGAAACCGAAAUGGAAAACAGAGAAAUAAAGAUGGGUGCGAUGCAGAUGUGCAGCAAAAAUAAGGUUUUCAAAUUAAUUAAAUAAGUAAAAAUAAGGUUUUCAAAUUAAUUAAAAGAUCUUUAAUGGUAAAAAGUAAAAAUUAUUAAUAUUAUCGACGAAUUUACCGAAAGCUUAUGUCUGUUGGUAAAAAGAGUGGAAAUUUUCUCACCCAAAUUUCGUCUCCAGUGUCAAUAUAUGCAAACAUCACGCUCAUUUCUCCUUCUCAUAUUUCCUUACCAUCUCGGUGUUAUUCUUCUUCCCAUCAACAGUGCCACCCUUCAAUGUUUGGUCACCGGAAUUUCUUGCCACCACUACUCAUUUCUACUUCUCAUUUUUUCUUAUCAUCUCGUAGUCUCAUCACCGUUGCUCUCCACAAUCGCGGCUCGCCAUUGUUGCAACCCACCACCAUCUACUUUUCAACCUUCCGGCAAGCUCAACUUUUCUGGGGAGCUCAACUUUUCCGACAAGCUCAACAUCACGGG
rnacentral:lncRNA from 1 species